ACUGUACGAAGAGAGUCAGAGUAACAAUGCAGGUGUAAACACGGCUAGUCAUGUGCUUCUUGUCAGCGUGAAUGCGUCAGCUGCAGGGGGGCGUUUCCACCGGGCGGCACAGAGACCAGCCGCGUGAGAACAAAACUCUUGAUUGGUGCUCCUCCAUUGACCGGGAGAGUUUUGAGCGAGAAGAGCACAGAGGUUGGACCCGGAGAGACAGACAGAUAAUGAAAGGGUCCAGGCUGAGCUAGGAGCUGACGGCCAUGCAGGAGUAGAGUCCACCAUCAGAGGGCAUCAUAUCAUCAAUUUCCAACACGCCGUCCACAACACUGACACGGCCUGAAGUCAAAUCCUAACACAAGGCAGCAAAUGUUGACGGCCCUCAUUUUGAAUAUUGCUUAUUGGUUGAAACAUGCAUAUUUGCAGAGCUCAGUUUGCUGAGCGUGUGAUUUCCUGCAUUCUUACCAGUGUUUGUCCAUUUG